GAUGAACGCUGGCGGCGUGCCUAAUACAUGCAAGUCGAGCGAACAGACGAGGAGCUUGCUCCUCUGACGUUAGCGGCGGACGGGUGAGUAACACGUGGAUAACCUACCUAUAAGACUGGGAUAACUUCGGGAAACCGGAGCUAAUACCGGAUAAUAUAUUGAACCGCAUGGUUCAAUAGUGAAAUACGGUUUUGCUGUCACUUAUAGAUGGAUCCGCGCCGCAUUAGCUAGUUGGUAAGGUAACGGCUUACCAAGGCAACGAUGCGUAGCCGACCUGAGAGGGUGAUCGGCCACACUGGAACUGAGACACGGACCAGACUCCUACGGGAGGCAGCAGUAGGGAAUCUUCCGCAAUGGGCGAAAGCUUGACGGAGCAACGCCGCGUGAGUGAUGAAGGUCUUCGGAUCGUAAAACUCUGUUAUUAGGGAAGAACAAAUGUGUAAGUAACUAUGCACGUCUUGACGGUACCUAAUCAGAAAGCCACGGCUAACUACGUG
rnacentral:rRNA from 1 species